UACGGGGGGGGCAAGCGUUGUUCGGAAUUACUGGGCGUAAAGCGCGUGUAGGCGGCCCUGCAAGUCGGGUGUGAAAUCCCACGGCUCAACCGUGGAAGUGCACUCGAAACUGCAGGGCUAGAGUCCUGGAGAGGAAGGUGGAAUGCUUGGUGUAGAGGUGAAAUUCGUAGAUAUCAAGCGGAACACCGGUGGCGAAGGCGGCCUUCUGGACAGUGACUGACGCUGAGACGCGAAAGCGUGGGGAGCAAACAGG
rnacentral:rRNA from 1 species